rfam:Angiostrongylus costaricensis strain Costa Rica genome assembly, scaffold: ACOC_scaffold0000674
GGUCCCGUGGUGUAGCGGUUAGUACUCAGGACUCUGAAUCAUGCGAAAGGAGUUCAAAUCUCCCCGAGACCU